rnacentral:rRNA from 1 species
UACGGAGGGUGCGAGCGUUAUUCGGAAUUACUGGGCGUAAAGCGCGUGUAGGCGGCAGGGCAAGUCUGGUGUGAAAGCCCGGGGCUCAACCCCGGAAGUGCAUUGGAAACUGCUCUGCUUGAGUACCGGAGAGGAAGGGGGAAUUCCCGGUGUAGCGGUGAAAUGCGUAGAUAUCGGGAGGAAUACCAGUGGCGAAGGCGCCCUUCUGGCCUUAACCUGACGCUGAGGAGCGAAAGCUAGGGGAGCAAACGGG